CAUAUCUAUUUAUAUUUGAAGGGAUUAUCUACUUGGUUUGUCAAUUUUUGACCCACAAGUAUUUUUUAAUAGAUUUUUAAAAAGAAUAUUUUUUCUUCACUCUGCUGAGGGGAAUGUACCCAUGCUUCAACAGUUUUACCCAGGAUACACUUCUGCAAAACCACUCCAGUAUUGGACCAGUUUACCCCACUCUACCAUGGACGUCCUACUUGUGAUGAGGACCUGAACCACCGCCAUGUUAGAGUCACUCUUUCAGGUCUUGUGGAGUAUCCUUCCCGAUUUGCAGGAACCAGCCUGGAUUUGAGGGGACCGGACAGUUCCCCUGCUGUACCAUGGGCGACCUACUAGUGAUGUGGACCUGAACCUCCGCCAUGUAGCAGACACCCCCCCCCUCAGGUCUUGCGGAGUAUCCUUCGCAAGGUGCAGGAACCAGCGUGGAUGAAGGGACCGGACAGUUCCCCUGCUGUACCAUGGGCGACCUACUUGUGAUGUGGAUCUGAACCUCCACCAUGUAGCAGACACCCUCCCUCAGGUCUUGCGGAGUAUCCUUCCCAAGUUGCGUGGAUGUGAAGGGACACGACUGUUCCCCUGAUGUACCAUGGGCGACCUACUUGUGAUGUGGACCUGAACCUCCGCCAUGUAGCAGACAACCCCCUCAGGUCUUGCGGAGUAUCCUUCCCAAGGUACAGGAACCAGCGUGGAUGUCAAGGGACAAGACAGUUCCCCUGCUGUACCAUGGGCGACCUACCACAAUACCACUGCAUCUCUGAAAUGCCAUAUUUUACAUUUUAUCAACUAAUAAUUUAAAGAAAAACCACACAAAACUUCUCAUUUGAAAAAUGUAUUUUUGGAUUAAAAAAUAAAUUGAAAUA